CCUACGGGUGGCAGCAGUGAGGAAUAUUGGUCAAUGGACGAGAGUCUGAACCAGCCAAGUAGCGUGAAGGAUGACUGCCCUAUGGGUUGUAAACUUCUUUUAUAUGGGAAUAAAAUGUUCCACGUGUGGCAUUUUGUAUGUACCAUAUGAAUAAGGAUCGGCUAAAUCCGUGCCAGCUGCCGCGGUAAUACGGAGGAUCCGAGCGUUAUCCGGAUUUAUUGGGUUUAAAGGGUUCGUAGGUGGAUUUUUAAGUCAGUUGUGAAAGUUUGCGGGUCAACCGUAAAAUUGCAGUUGAAACUGGCAGUCUUGAGUAAAGUAGAGGUGGGCGGAAUGCGUGGUGUAGCGGUGAAAUGCUUAGAUAUCACGAAGAACUCCGAUUGCGAAGGAAGCUCACUGGAGUGCAACUGACACUGAGGCUCGAAAGUGUGGGUAUCAAACAGGAUUAGAUACCCCAGUAGUG
rnacentral:rRNA from 1 species